GCAGGGAGCGGCAGACGGGNGAGUAACGCGUGGGAACGNGCCUAUUGUUCGGAAUNGCCCUGGGAAACUGGGUGUAAUACCGAAUGUGCCCUUCGGGGGAAAGAUUUAUCGCCAAUAGAUCGGCCCGCGUUAGNUUAGCUAGUUGGUGGGGUAAAAGCCUACCAAGGCUACGAUCUAUAGCUGGUCUGAGAGGAUGAUCAGCCACACUGGGACUGAGACACGGCCCAGACUCCUACGGGAGGCAGCAGUGAGGAAUCUUGGACAAUGGGCGAAAGCCUGAUCCAGCCAUGCCGCGUGAAUGAUGAAGGCCUUAGGGUUGUUAAAUCCCUCAGCAGGAAGAUAAUGACUGG
rnacentral:rRNA from 1 species